rnacentral:lncRNA from 7 species
CGCAAACCUUUCCAGCCAAAACAUUCUGCCAGGUUUAAUCACGGGCACAAGAUCAAGAUCUAACGACGUCGAUCGCAGCCCAAUCCACACCGUCACCCCGACCAACUCAGCUCGGCGGCGACGACAACCACAGCGGCGCCAUUAACAGACCUCGUCAGAGCGUAAUCCCGUGCACUAAAUCGCCAACCUACCCGGUACAAUUCCAAAUUGGAGGGUAGACGAAGCGGGAGGAUGAAACCGUAUCGCGGAUUAUGAAGUGAGGAGCCUUGGCGACGACUCGCGGUGGUCCCUGCGUGCAGUAGCUACGUCGGUGAGGAAUUGCGCCCGAAUCGAUCCCCUAGAUUGCUUGGCGUUGGCACGAACGUCACCACCGUGCACCCGCGACACGCCCCAAACUCCAAAAUAGGUCCGGCGUGGAUACACCAGAAUCCUAGAUGGUGGCGGCUCCUUACUCGCCCCAAACCCGGUGUGCACAGCCCUCUGCUCACGCGGCUCUCUCUCUAAAG